rnacentral:misc_RNA from 1 species
CAUGAGUUGCAAAACUCCCAACCAUUGUGAACCGAACCUAUCAGUUGCCUUCGGCGGCGAGGCCCCCUCUCCCCCCGUCGGGGGAGGCAGCCCGCCGGAGGCAUCCAAACUAUAGCAUAUUGUCCUCUCUGAUUACUUAUAUAAUAAGUCA